CCGAAUACAUUAGCAUGGGAUAAUGGAAUAGGACCCUGUCCUCCUAUCUUCAGUUGGUUAACUUGUAGAGGAUCAGGGUAAUGAUUAAUAGGGAUAGUUGGGGGCAUUAAUAUUUAAUUGUCAGAGGUGAAAUUCUUGGAUUUAUGAAAGAUUAACUUCUGCGAAAGCAUCUGCCAAGGAUGUUUUCAUUAAUCAAGAACGAAAGUUAGGGGAUCGAAGACGAUCAGAUACCGUCGUAGUCUUAACCAUAAACGAUGCCGACCAGCGAUUAGGAGACGUUGAAUACAAAACACCACCAUGCAUAAUUCAGUAUAUGGCCAGUCAAAUGGUUGUAUAUUGUUUGUGUAUGGCACCGGUGAAUGACUCCCUAGCAGCUUGUGA
rnacentral:rRNA from 1 species